UACGGAGGGUGCGAGCGUUGUCCGGAAUUACUGGGCGUAAAGAGCUCGUAGGCGGUCUGUCACGUCGGCUGUGAAAACCCGGGGCUCAACCCCGGGCCUGCAGUCGAUACGGGCAGACUAGAGUGCGGUAGGGGAGACUGGAAUUCCUGGUGUAGCGGUGGAAUGCGUAGAUAUCGGGAGGAACACCAGUGGCGAAGGCGGUUGCCUGGGGCUUUGCUGACGCUGAUGCGCGAAAGCGUGGGGAGCGAUCAGG
rnacentral:rRNA from 1 species